UGGCAACAGUAUUAAUCAAAUCAAAAUUUAAUUAUUUCCUUUAAAAUAUAUCACGCGCCGUUACGGCCGUCCUGCAUCUUCACACGUCCUCGUGUGUAUCCUCGAAAGUUUUUGAAAAUAAAGCCAAACAUGUUGUUAAUACUUGUAUGCUCGGUCAUACUGACCAACUAAAUAAAGUCACGUUAUGCUGCACAGGCACAUAACGCACUUAGGCUGCUAUGCCAUACAGCAUAUUUUGCCACACAGGCUACUUUACCACACAGGCUAUACAACAUAUUUUGCCACACAGGCUACUAUACCACACAAGCUAUUAUGCCACACAGGUUACUAUACCACACAAGCUAUUAUGCCACACAGGCUAUUUUGUCACACAGGCUACUAUGCCACACAGGCUAUUAAGCCACACAGGCUACUAUCACAUAAACUGUGGUUUAUCACAAGAAAUCACAUACCUACCAUCGCCGUUAUCGGCACGUCCUGACUCUGCAUCAAUAGGUGUUUUGUAGGCGUUAACUACCGCGAGAGUUUCCAACUCAUAUGAAACCUAGACUCAGCGGAGUUUUGUACGACGGCUGUGAUAUUCGACCACAUGAGUCUUGCCUGCGAAUUUCUGUAUCAGUAUCGCCCCAUAUCC
rnacentral:misc_RNA from 1 species